GCAUCCUUCUCUGUUCAGCAGCGCAGCCGAGCCGCAAUCGCGACCGAGCCGUCGCCGAGUUUCCAGCCGCGCCGGGAGAUCGUCCAAGCCGAUCUGCGCAGCCGAGCGCCCGUCGGACGCCGAAGCCGAGUCGAAGCCGCCUCCGUGCGUCCGCAGCCAACCCGUCAGCCAGCCGAGGCGCGCCGCUCCGAUCCGACGCAAGCGCAGCCGAAACGCCAGUCGUAGCCGUCGCCGAGCGAAGCCGCGGUAGCCGGACCACCAGCAGCCGCCGCGCCACCCGAGAUCCGGAAGCCGAAGCCUCGCGCGCAAAGGUCCGACCGAAGACCCGCCCCGCGACCCGAACCGACGCGCGCCACCCUCCGGAAACCCGACCCGCGCCCGCGUGCACCCGUGCGUGAGCCGCGCCCGCGUGUGAAGCCGCGCCCGCGUGUGAAGCCGCGCCGCGCGCUUUUGUGUAGCCGAGCCGCGUCUCCCUGUUGCAAGCCGAGCCGCGUCUCCCCCUGUUGCAAGCCGAGCCGCACGCGAAAUCCCUGUACCGAGCCGAGCCGCGUCUGCCCAAGCCGAGCCGGUCCUGUCUUCUUCCAGCCGAGCCGCCAGGACUAAAUUGGCUCCAUCCACCUAUAUUUUGGUAAGCUAAUUAAUUAUUGUGGUUUUUCCGGUAAGACUCCAUGCUCGGACGUUAGUUAAAUUAAUUUGGAUCUAAAUUAUAUUAUUUUCCUCAAGGGACGUCUUGGACCAAGAAAUUACUGCAGCGCGGGAUUUCCUUCAGUAGGGGCUCGAGCACUGCAACCUCCUUCUAGGUUAGGACUUCGUCGCUUGGAAAGCGUACUGCCUCGCGGUUAGGACUCGACAAGUAGAUCUCCAGGUAAGAGAUUCUACUACUAGUUUCAUGUUUGAAGUAUGAGACUGUGUAUGCCCUAUGUUGCAUAUUGAGAGUUUGACAGUAUGAUGCCUGAAAUAAAUGUUAGUAUGAUGCAAAUGACGAUAUAGUUGUGCUAUAGCCUGUUAUGCGUGGCAAGAUUUAUUAUGGUUACGACGAAUGUCGGGGCGGAGAGUGUAGAAAUGAUUUAUGUGACAUGUUAUAUGCUGAUGCCAUGUGUAUGUAUACUGCAAAUUAGGGUACCUGUUAGCUUGAUUCUGUUAGAGUCGUACCUGCAUGGGUGUCCUUCGGGAUCACCACCUAUUGAGGACUGUGUGGUCCGACGGGACGCCAGUCUAGCAUGAUAUAGACAUGACUCGAGUGACUCGACGGGGUCCUCGCAUCCCGACUGUCCUAGGUGUCCCCGGGCACCGAAGACCAGAGUUACGUUCCUACGGGAGCGCAUGAUUGCACGUGUUCGGGAACGUGCCAGAGAUUGGGUACCAGUUAUCAGGACUCUAACAGGAAGUUAACAGGCACCUAGUGGGACUAGUAGUGGGUCCCUUACUGAGUAUUUUUAUACUCAUUCUCUCCACUUUAUGUUUUCAGGUAGAGGACGAGGCAAAGGCAAGGGCAAGCUGGCGAGCGACCCGAAGUGAGACCGAGGAGGGCCAUAGGGACUACCGCUUCCGCUUAUUUCUUAUUUCAGAUUUUAGCAUUUGAGUUUGAGUACUUUUUUAUUUUUCACUAUCUUUUAUGUAGAUAGGGCCCGAGUAGGAUUUCAGAACGUUUUUACAUUUUUGCAUGACUACCUUGUUUAUGUUUUUAUAAAUGAAUUUCUUGAACCGUAUGCUUUUAAUAAAAUUUUUAGACUUAAACCACUUGUUCUAUAUUUAGUAAUGACUUCGAUUCAGCAUAA